GGGGCUGAUUGGCUUUCGACAGGAGUUGUGAGACUUAAGUGCAUGUGAGCGUGGCAAAGCUCUCAAACUGCCAUUAAAUUAAACGCAAACAAUGCAAAUUACGCUCCAGCUUACGCAAAAGUAGCGUAAGUUUAUCCAUUUUUGGAGCCGGCUUAAGAUAAGAUUCUAGCGAUUAUUUUGAGCUGUCAUCACAGCUAGAUGCUCUCUUCUUGAUGCCUUAGAGUAGAGAAAAGAUGAAGGUUGCUUGCGGGAUUUGUGUUUUUGGGGUGUUAAACAACCCGUAAAAAGAUUCUUAACACCCGCUAAACAUGUAGAAUCUUAAGAAGACUCAAACUUUUGGACUGGGGUUCAACUCCCCACAGCUCCACCA
rfam:Helicobacter sp. MIT 05-5293 CONTIG_335, whole genome shotgun sequence.